GGAGAGCUGUUCCACCCUCCUUUCACACUUUCAUGUGAUCUGUCCAACUCCAUAACUACCUUGAAGAAGUUUCAACGUCUUUAGAACUAGAGAUUUCUCCCUCCAAAACCAGCAUCACUGGGUUUUGUCUGCUUCCCUGUUCAGUUCUUAAGGGGACAGGGUACAGUACUGCACAGGGAGAGCUGACCUGAGGAAGGGGAUCAAAGCUGCCAAGACGGAACAUAAACUGAAAAUAGAGGACCACUUCACAGACAGCAACCAUGUCAUUCAUUCUCAGGUGCCAGUACUCUCAGCAGAUAUUGUGAGGUGUCUGUACUCUGAAGAGACAAACAAAGAGGUGCUGGUACUGCAUACCUCACAGGGUGAAAUAUGGCCCAUAGCUAUGAGUCCAAAUGGUCAGUGGACGUCUCUGCCUGUGACUGCAAACUGCCUGUAGUCAGAUUGUGAUACACGGGAACUGGUUUCUUUACAGCCAUAAUCAUCUAAACAAUGGCUCACCAAGAGAACUCGCUCACCGACCUCUUGCUGGAGAAUCUGAAGGAGCUCGAUGAUGAAGAGCUGAAGGAGUUUAAAUGGAAACUGAGUCACACAAAGUAUAAUGAGUUAAAGCCCCUUCCCAGGGGUCAGGUGAAGCACUUGGAUAGAACAGACCUCGCCGACACGAUGAUAAGUUCCUACAGGGAAGUUGGUGCUCUUGAAGUCACACUAGAAAUCCUGAAGAAUAUGACCCUGAAUGACCUUGCUGAGAGACUGAAGGAAGACCUGCAGAAGUGUAAUCAAUUAGUAAAUGAGCGGGGUGACGUAUCAGAGAAAAGGGAGCUAAUUUUGCACAGAAUAAAAUGUAACCUGAAGAAGAAAUUUGAGUGUGUAUUUCAAGGGAAAGCUAAGGAAGGACAGUCAACACUUCUCAAAGAGAUUUACACAGAAGUCUGCAUAAUUGAAGGGGGAGCUGGAGGAGUCAAUGAUGAACAUGAAGUGAGACAGAUUGAAACAGCAUCCAAGAAAAGGCGAACAGAAGAUACUACAGUCAAGUGCAAUGAUAUAUUUAAACCCUUAUGUAGGCGUGAGACACCUAUCAGAACUGUACUCACUAAAGGGGUUGCAGGUAUCGGGAAAACAGUCUCUGUGCAGAAAUUUAUUCUAGACUGGGCAGAUGGAAAAGCAAACCAGGACAUUCACUUCAUAUUUGCUCUUCCUUUCCGGAACCUGAAUUUGCUUGAGGGUGAAUUCAGUCUGAUUGAACUGCUUCACCACUUUGAUCAAGAACUAAAGUCAUUUCAAUCUACUGAGCUGUUUAGGUGCAAAGUCUUGAUCAUCUUUGAUGGUCUAGAUGAGUGUCGUCUUCUUCUUAAUUUUAAGAACAAUAAGAGCUUUUCUGAUGUAACAAAGAAAACAUCACUGGAUGUGCUGUUGACUAACCUCAUUAAAGGAAAUUUGCUCCCAUCCGCUCUCCUCUGGAUAACCUCCCGGCCAGCAGCAACCAGUCAGAUACCUCUUGAGUACAUCGACCAGGUGACAGAGAUACGAGGGUUCAGUGAUGCCCAGAAGGAGGAGUAUUUCAAGAAGAGAUUUAAUGAUGAGAGCCUGGCUGAAAGGAUUAUCAGACAUAUGAAAUCAUCAAGGAGCCUCUUCAUCAUGUGCCACAUACCUGUGUUCUGCUGUAUUUCAGCCACUGUCCUUGAGAGUCUUUUUAGCAAAACUGACAUUGGUGAAAUUCCAAAGACUUUUACUGAAAUGUACACACACUUCCUAAUCUUUCAGACAAGUUUAAAACAUAGCAAGUAUGUGCUCCAGACCCCUGUGACCGAGAAGAGGACAAGCUGGUUCAGAAAAUUGAAGGAUGGAUGGGGGGAAAGAAAUGAAACCAACCAUAUUAAAUGCUUCCUUCUAAAACUUGGUAAACUGGCUUUUCAUAACCUUCAGAAAAGCAAUAUCAUAUUUUAUGAAAAAGAUCUUGAACAGAGUGACCUUGACGUCAGAGAAACUUCAGUUUACUCUGGAGUGUGCACAGAAGUCUUUAAGGAGGAAUAUGGGUUGUAUCAGACAAAGGUUUACUGCUUUGUGCAUCUGAGCAUUCAGGAGUAUUUCGCUGCUUUAUAUGUCUUUCUAUCAAAGUCAUCAGCUAACCUACUGAAGACUGCAGUGAAUCAGGCAUUAAAGAGCAAGAAUGGACACUUGGACCUCUACCUCCGCUUCCUCCUGGGCCUUUCAACAGACUCCAGUAAGACUCUCUUAGAAAGGCUACUGGGACAGACAGGAUUCAGCUCACAUAACAUUGGGAAAACAGCCGAAUACAUCAAGAGUAAAAUAAAUAAGAAUUUAUCUCCAGAAAGGACCAUCAACCUGUUCCACUGUCUAAAUGAACUGGGUGACAAUUCUUUAGUAGAGGAGGUACAAAGAUACCUGAAUUCAGGAAAUCUUUCAGCAGAAGAUCUCUCACCUGCACAGUAUUCAGCUCUGGCCUUUGUGUUACUGAUGUCAGAUGAGGAGCUGGAUGUGUUUGAUCUGAAUAAAUUCUUCAGAUCAGAUAAUGAGCACUGGAGGCUGUUGCCUGUGGUCAAGACAUCCAAGACAGCUCUGCUGAACAGCUGUAGUCUCACAGAGUCAUGCUGUGACACGUUGGCUUUAACUCUCAGAUCAAACUCCUCACCCCUGAGAGAGCUGGACCUGAGUAACAAUGACCUGCAGGAUUCAGGAGUGAAGCUGCUCUCUGCUGGACUGGGGGAUUCACACUGCAAAUUGGAGAUACUGAGGCUGUCAGGCUGUAGAGUCAAAGAGAGAGGCUGUACUUCCCUGGCUUCAGCUCUGAGAUCAAACCCCUCACAUCUGAGAGAGCUGGACCUGAGCUACAAUCACCCAGGAGACUCAGGGGUGAAGCUGCUCUAUGCUGUACUGGAGGAUCCCAGCUGUAAACUGGAGAAGCUGAAUGUGGAUCACAGUGGAGAGUGCAGGACCAGACCAGGCUUACAGAAAUAUGGAUUUCCAAGUUCAUGUUUUGACUCCUGCCAGCUGACGCUGGACCCCAACACAGCAAACAGACUCCUGUCUCUGUCAGAGGGGAACAGGAAGGUGACACGGGGGGCAGAGCAGCCAUAUCCUGAUCAUCCAGAGCGAUUUGACAGCUGUAACCAAGUUCUGUGCAGAGAGAGUCUGACUGGUCGCUGUUACUGGGAGGCUGAGUGGAGUGGAGGUGGAGCUGAUAUAGCAGUGACUUAUAAAGGAAUAGAGAGGAAAGGACAGAGUGCUAGCUCUUCACUUGGAGCCAAUGACAAGUCAUGGAUGCUGACCUGCCUUUCUGACAGUUACUCUGUCCAGCACAAUGAUAAACAGACUGACAUACCCAUAAAGCCCUCAGGCUCCCGCAGAGUAGGAGUGUAUCUGGACCAGGCGGCUGGUACUCUGUCCUUCUACAGAGUCUCCUCUGAUGGACUGACCCUCCUGUACAGCUUCACCUCCUCAUUCACUGAACCCCUCUAUCCAGGGUUUUGGGUUCAUUAUGUCUCCUCCAUGUCACUGUGCAUGCUGGGAUAGCUCACUGUGUGCUGCAGGAAUCAUUUUUACCUUAUCAGAGUGUCAGAUGACGCUGCUUCUCCCUGGCAAAAAGGCUCACUACUAGCAGAAGGCUUAGAAGAUGCAGGACGACUGGGAGCCAUCGUAGGGCUUAAAACAAAAUGAAAACAAUCGGACCACAAGCAAGGUACGCGAUACGCAGAGAACUGUGACGCAUUAGGGAAAAAUCCGCGAUAUAGCGGGGAUCACUGUAUUGUUGAAAUAGCUUUGUUUGUUUAGAAUACAUAACUAUUACAGCACAGACACUCAACAAUGGCAUAUUAUUUGCAAAUAAUAAAAAAAAUUCCAAAAAGUUUUUUAGACCAAUUAAGUGAAAUUGGAUAAUUUCUCACAGCAUGCUAGUGUGCCACGGCACAGUGGUUGAAAAUCACUGUUCUAAAGCAUUAUGUCGAACUGUACGCAAAUUAUUAGGAAGAAAAAAUAAUCUGUCAUUUUCUUCUGGGUUGCAUUUCUUUCAGAGGUUUUAAAGAUAUACGUGUAAUGGGGUGGAGCUGGAGGGUGCGAUCUUGUUGGGGCAUGGUAAUUUAAUUAACCUGAUUGGUUAAUUGUUACGGCCAGCCUGCAUAUAUAGGACCCGGUUGUGGUUGCGUGCGUGACUGCUCUGUAACCGGUGACGUGACUUCCUUGCGCCAGUAUCUCCUUUUUUAAGUUGUGGGUAUAUCCAACGCUGCAGGUAGGGUACCAGUGGACGGCGUCGUUUGCUUGCUGUAUGGGUCGUUGUAAUGUGUUUUUUGGUAUAUUUCUUUACAGUUGCGAGGGCUCGGUAUAUCUAGCUGCUUGCGGUUGCUCCUGCUUUUAAGGUUUUCCUUUUAAUACCGCGUGUAAUCUGCCAGGUAUGUCUCGUCUCCUUUUACUAACAAUGUUUGGGUAGUAGGGGCAUGCCUAAUAAUGUUUGUAUUUGUAGUGGAUCGCGACUUGGACUGUUCCUGGACCGACGUGAGCCAGACAAUCGGCGGGAAAACUAAGCCACUACAAUUGCUGCUGUUUUGCCCGGAUGUUUUUAUGUUUUGUUUCGUGUUUUAAUUGGUUUUAAGUAUUAAUGUGUUGGAUGUAAACUGUGGGGCGCCGGUGGUGGAGGUUUGGUGUUGGGAGGUGAGGAUCUGUUUUGGGCUGCGUGCGUGGUCGCUUUGCCUUUUUAGCCCACCCUUUGGGUGGAUGUACUUACGCCAUGUGAUGCGGUGACCCCUUGGAGUACUUUCUGACGGUUCGCCUCCCAUUCCCCUCCCCAUAACAGCUGCUGGGUUUGGGUUUUUUUUUUUUUUUUUUUUUUUUUUUUUUUGUACAAUUGGAGUGUUUUAACAUGAUUUGAUUUGCACUAUUUGUGGUGUGAUUAAGUAAUUUGUUUGCUGUUUGGUUUUUUUCUUUGAGUGCGAACUAAACAGCACCCUAAUAAAGGGAGUGUUCAUGGUC